rnacentral:rRNA from 1 species
UAAAAGCAGCCACCAUUAACAAAAGCGUCACAGCAAGAAAGAAAUAAAUUUCACAAUAUCAGCCAGCCUCCUAGAAAAACACUGAGCCACACUAUAAUUAUAGUCGAACUACUGUUAGAACUAGUAACAAGAAAUCUUCUCCAAGCACCCCUGUGAUCCAGAAAUAGAAAACCUACUGGACAUUAACAGACCAUAGUAGGUACGACGCCCACGAAGCAUCUGACCAACUGUCAAACCAACCCCGGAGUGCUUAAAGGAUAGAUUAAAAGCCAUAAAAGGAACUCGGCAAAAUUUGUCUCAACUGUUUACCAAAAACAUAGCCUUUAGCCAAACAAGUAUUAAAGGUCCCGCCUGCCCAGUGAAACAUUUUAACGGCCGCGGUAUUCUAACCGUGCAAAGGUAGCGUAAUCACUUGUCUUCUAAAUAAAGACCAGUAUGAACGGCUAAAUGAGGACAAGCCUGUCUCUUGUGGCUAAUCAGUGAAACUGAUCUCUCAGUACAAACGCUGAGAUACACACAUAAGACGAGAAGACCCUGUGGAGCUUAAAACAAACCACUAAACCCACUACACUAGUGCAAUGUUUUAAGUUGGGGCGACUUCGGAACAAAACAAAACUUCCGAGCACGGAACCACCCCUUCCAACCAAGGCCAACAAGCCAAAGAACACAUUGACCCGGCAAUGCCGAAAAACGAACCAAGUUACCCCAGGGGUAACAGCGCCAUCUUCUUCAAGAGUCCAUAUCGACAAGAAGGUUUACGACCUCGAUGUUGGAUCAGGACACCCAAAUGGUGCAGCCGCUAUUAAAGGUUCGUUUGUUCAACGAUUAACAGUCCUACGUGAUCUGAGUUCAGACCGGA